UAGGGAAUCUUCGGCAAUGGGCGAAAGCCUGACCGAGCAACGCCGCGUGAGCGAUGAAGGCCUUCGGGUCGUAAAGCUCUGUUGUUAGAGAAGAACAAGUACGAGAGUAACUGCUCGUACCUUGACGGUACCUAACCAGAAAGCCACGGCUAACUACGUGCCAGCAGCCGCGGUAAUACGUAGGUGGCAAGCGUUAUCCGGAAUUAUUGGGCGUAAAGCGCGCGCAGGCGGUCUCUUAAGUCUGAUGUGAAAGCCCACGGCUCAACCGUGGAGGGUCAUUGGAAACUGGGAGACUUGAGUGCAGGAGAGAAAAGUGGAAUUCCACGUGUAGCGGUGAAAUGCGUAGAGAUGUGGAGGAACACCAGUGGCGAAGGCGGCUUUUUGGCCUGUAACUGACGCUGAGGCGCGAAAGCGUGGGGAGCAA
rnacentral:rRNA from 1 species